rnacentral:rRNA from 1 species
CCUACGAGCGGCAGCAGUGAGGAAUAUUGGUCAAUGGCCGUAAGGCUGAACCAGCCAAGUCGCGUGAAGGAAGACGGAUCUAUGGUUUGUAAACUUCUUUUAUAGGGGAAUAAAGGUAUCCACGUGUGGAUAUUUGCAUGUACCCUAUGAAUAAGCAUCGGCUAACUCCGUGCCAGCAGCCGCGGUAAUACGGAGGAUGCGAGCGUUAUCCGGAUUUAUUGGGUUUAAAGGGUGCGUAGGUUGUUUUUUAAUCAGCGGUGAAAGUUUGUGGCUCAACCAUAAAAUUGCCGUUGAAACUGGAAGUCUUGAGUGUGUUUGAGGUAGGCGGAAUGCGUGGUGUAGCGGUGAAAUGCAUAGAUAUCACGCAGAACUCCGAUUGCGAAGGCAGCUUACUAAGCCAUAACUGACACUGAUGCACGAAAGCGUGGGGAUCAAACAGGAUUAGAUACCCUUGUAGUC